UUUGGAUAGAUACAUCUAUCAUUAAAAUCUAUCAUUAAGAAAUAAUUAAAGUAGAUAUUUAAGUCUUAUCACCUAAAAGUAUAAAAAAUUUGUAAAAGUUAUGUCUGAUAUAUUCAGAUUCAUCUUUCCACUUUAUAGAGCCAUAGAGGCAUUGCUCCUGUUGGAAUAUUUCACUAAUAUUCAUUACAGUUUGCAGAGUUGUACUUUUUUUAAUUGGAUAUUUUCUUUAUUUACAUUUCAAAUGUUUUCCCUGAUCCUGGUUUCCCCUCCAAAAACCCGCUCCCCCAUUCCUUUUCCCUCUUCCUCCUCACCAGCCCACCUGGCCCUGGCAUUUCCCUACAUUGGGGCAUAGAGCCUUCACAGGACCAAAGUCCUCUCCUCCCUAUGAUAUCCGAUCAGGCCAUCCUCUGCUACAUAUUCAGCUGGAACCAUGAGUCCUACUAUGUAUGCUCUUUGGUUGGUGGUUUAGUCCGUGGGAGCUCUGGGGUAUUGGUUAGUUCAUAUUGUUGUUCCUCUUAUGGGGCUGCAAACCUCUUCAGGUCCUUAGGUCCUUUCUCUAGCUCCCUCAUUGGGGACCCUAUGCUCAGAUCAAUGGAUAACUGUGAGCAUCCACUUCAGUGUUUAUCAGGCACUGGCAGAGCCUCUCAGGAGAGAGCUUUAUCUGGCUCCUUUCAGCAAGCACUUAUUGGCAUCCACAAGAGUAUCUAGGUUUGGUUAUUGUAUAACCAGGUGGGGCAGUCUCUGGAUGGUCAUUUCUUUAGCCUCUUCUCCACACUUUGUCUCUGUAACUUCUUCCUUGGGUAAUUUGUUUCCCCUUUUAAGAAGGAUUGAUGUAUCCAUACUUUGGUCUUACUUCUUCUUGAGUUUUAUGUGUUUUGUGGGAAAAAAAAUGUUCAACCUUCUUAGUCAUCAGGGAAAUGCAAAUCAAAACAGCCUUGAGAUCCCCCCUCAUACCAGUCAGAAUGGCUAUGAUCAAAAACUCAUGUGUCAGCAGAUUCUGGCGAGGAUGUGGAGAAAGAGGAACAAUUCUCCAUUGCUGGUGGUAUUGUAAGCUGAUUCAACCACUCUGGAAAUUAGUGUGGCAGUUCCUCAGAAAACUGGACAUAGUACUACCUGAGGACCUAGCAAUAACUCUCCUGGGCAUAUACCCAGAAGAUGUUCCAACUUGUAAUAUGGACACAUGCUCCACUAUGUUCAUAGCAGCCUUAUUUAUAAUAGCCAGAAGCUGGAAAGAACCCAGAUCUCCCUCAGCAGAGGAAUGGAUACAGAAAAUGUGGUACAUUUACAUAAUGGAGUACUACACAGCUACUAAAAACAAUGAAUUUAUGAAAUUCAUAGGCAAAUGGAUGUAUCUGGAGGAUAUCAUCUUGAGUGUUCACAAAAGAACACACAUGAUAUGCACUCAUUGAUAAGGGGAUAUGAGCUUAGAAGCUUGGAAUACUUGAGUUGUAUUUUCAAAUCUGUAAAAUCUAGCAUUUUUUAACGAGAAAAAAUGAGAGCAACAAUAGAAAUAAAGUCGAAGUCUCAUUUCUGCGUGUGGUUGAGGAUAAGAUACAGAAUUGUGAGGCUUGACAGAUAUUGUGCAUGUUUUUAACCGUCACCUCAAAGAACAUCUCAGUGUGAAAAGUCAAACUCUAAAAUUGCCUCUACUUUCUAUUUAAACAGUUCUUGAGCACUUUCUGGCUCUUAUUUUGGAUAAAUAGCUCUCCAGUGGCAUUGAUGCCCAAGUGUGAUCAUAGCAUUUCUUCCAGAACUCUGCAGAGCUAGUCAAAGGUGCAAAUUUCCUGAAGCCACCUUGAUUUCUAAGUUUAAAUGGAUGUAUAUUGUUAACUCCUCAUAGUUCUUAACUUUUGCUGAACUAAAAGCUGCUUUCCAAUAAGAAAAAAGCAAGGGUUUGCAAUAUAGGACAAAAUGCAAAAGAUUGGCAAUCCCAGGUUUUAGACUAAAAGUGCAGAGUUACUAGGUCUAUGGAGAACUUAAUUUGUGCAGAAAGUUCCUUAUUUGAAUGGAUGGUAGUUAGAUACUAGUGAUCUUUAUUCUUCCCUCCAUUCCUCACCUUUGCUCUCCAACUCCUUCCUUACAGAUCUUCAUUCAGACGUUAGCAAGUUUUCAAUCUAAGUAUCAGAUUGGUGCUUUUCAAUUUUAAGUUAUACAUUUAUAUGUUAACACCUCAACUUAGAUGCAGCUAUCUUUUUACCACCCAAAUUUAGAAAAGUAUUAAAGGAGAAGGUAAAGAUCAGUUUAACUAAUAAAUAAUUUGUAACUAAUAAAUAAUAAAUGUGAGAAUUAGUGGGUCUCUUAUUCAACUGAGGUGUCUUAUAUAUCACCUGAGAUCUAGGCAGACUCACCGGUAGGCCUCCUCGUGAGAAUCUAAGUGUACUAAAGAAGAAUAUGUGCUUUGUAUGGGGAAUUGGCUGCCAAGAGUUCAGUAAAUGGAAAGGAAACAGUUUCCUGACUGAUUCAUAGUAGCUCUGAACUGGGGGCCCAUGGGCCAGGAUGAGGGGGGACUGGAUAAUUAUUAGGCUUUAUGGAGACGAGCUGAUGGCAGUUGUCUUCCCCUAGGUCCCUGUGAGUUGAGGCUCAUAAUUAAAAUCUCAUUUUCAUCCAUCUUCAUACUGUCUAAUACUCAGAAAGGAAUUAAGUGGGGGAGUGUGAAACUAGAGACUCUUACACCACUCUGUAGGAAUCAUUCAUUUUAUAAUCUUUCCUCAUUCUUUAGGUUGUUUUGCCUCAUCUUUCUUCUUUGUACUCUUUUACUUAUUGACAGUAUUUGGCUUAGUUCUCUUAUCAAAAGCAAAUUAUAGAUUUAGUGUAAUCUCAGUCAAAAUCUCCAUGGCAUUCUUUACAGAAAU
rnacentral:lncRNA from 1 species